rnacentral:rRNA from 1 species
UACAGAGGGGGCAAGCGUUAUUCGGAAUUAUUGGGCGUAAAGGGCGCGUAGGCGGCCUGGCAAGUGGAAGGUGAAAUCCCUCGGCUUAACCGAGGAACUGCCUCCCAAACUGCUUGGCUUGAGACCAGGAGAGGUGAGUGGAAUUCCCAGUGUAGCGGUGAAAUGCGUAGAUAUUGGGAGGAACACCAGUGGCGAAGGCGGCUCACUGGACUGGUACUGACGCUGAUGCGCGAAAGCGUGGGGAGCAAACGGG